ACCCCUCGCCUGCCCCACACCAGGCAGCCGGCCUGAGAAGCCCGGCCCCGCCCACCACGCCUGGGUCCUCACUCCUACCGCUCUCUUGCAGGGAAGGACAUGGAGCCCAACGGCCCGUCGCUGCCCAGGGAUGAAGGGCCCCCGACCCCAAGCUCUGCCACGAAGGUGCCACCGGCAGAGUACAGGUUGUGCAACGGGUCAGACAAAGAAUGUGUGUCCCCCACCGCCAGGGUCACCAAGAAGGAGACUCUCAAGGUGAGCCCGGGCCUGGGGAGGAUGCAGCAGUGUCAUUGUCAGACCGACGACCACCUGAGCCAGGGAGGUCAUCCUCCCUGCCUGUCAAAAGGAGGGGACAAACCGCACCUGGUCGCCUCCACGCCCCCUGCUCCCUCUCCUGCCCCUGCCCCUGGACCCAUCCCUGGGCUGGAUGGUGGGAGGAGCUGGGGCAGCUGAGCACCUUCUCCCAUCACCCACCGCGGGUGCCCCGGGCCCAGGCACAGAAGGAGAACUACCGGCAGGAGAAGAAGCGCGCUACACGGCAGCUGCUCAGCGCUCUGACAGACCCCAGCGUGGUCAUCAUGGCCGACAGCCUGAAGGUAGGUGACGCCCAGCCACCGGCCACCCAGGACGCGGGUCAGCGUGCUGCUGCCAUAACAAAGGACCACAAACCAGGUGGCCUGAAACAAUGGAAAUUCACUUCCCUGCAUCCAGCCGUAUCACUGCAGCCUCUGCUCCGUCCUCAUGAGGCCUUUCCUUAUCCACCUGUCUCCUCCUUUUUAUGAGG
rnacentral:sRNA from 1 species